rnacentral:rRNA from 1 species
AUUCCGGUUGAUCCUGCCGGAGGCCAUUGCUAUCGGGGUCCGAUUUAGCCAUGCUAGUCGCACGAGCUUAUACUCGUGGCGAAUAGCUCCNNNNNNNNNNNNNNNNNNNNNNNNNNNNNNNNNNNNNNNNNNNNNNNUAUCUGAGACAAGAUACCGGGCCCUACGGGGCGCAGCAGGCGCGAAACCUUUACACUGCACGCCAGUGCGAUAAGGGGACCCCGAGUGCGAGGGCAUAUAGCCCUCGCUUUUGCACACCGUACGGUGGUGCGCGAACAAGGACUGGGCAAGACCGGUGCCAGCCGCCGCGGUAAUACCGGCAGUCCGAGUGAUGGCCGCUAUUAUUGGGCCUAAAGCGUCCGUAGCCGGCCGGGCAAGUUCGUCGGGAAAUCCACCCGCUCAACGGGUGGGCGUCCGGCGAAAACUGCCUGGCUUGGGACCGGAAGACCCGAGGGGUACGUCCAGGGUAGGAGUGAAAUCCUAUAAUCCUGGACGGACCGCCGGUGGCGAAAGCGCCUCGGGAAAACGGAUCCGACGGUGAGGGACGAAAGCUUGGGUCACGAACCGGAUUAGAUACCCGGGUAGUCCAAGCCGUAAACGAUGCUCGCUAGGUGUGCCACAGGCCACGAGCCUGUGCUGUGCCGCAGGGAAGCCCAGAAGCGAGCCGCCUGGGAAGUACGUCUGCAAGGAUGAAACUUAAAGGAAUUGGCGGGGGAGCACUACAACCGGAGGAGCCUGCGGUUUAAUUGGACUCAACGCCGGACAUCUCACCAGCUCCGACAGCAGGAGUGACGGUCAGUGUGAUGAGCUUACCAAACCUGCUGAGAGGAGGUGCAUGGCCGCCGUCAGCUCGUACCGUGAGGCGUCCUGUUAAGUCAGGCAACGAGCGAGACCCGCACUCUUAAUUGCCAGCAUGGCCCUCGUGGCUGAUGGGUACAUUAGGAGGACUGCCGCUGCCAAAGCGGAGGAAGGAACGGGCAACGGUAGGUCAGUAUGCCCCGAAUGAGCUGGGCGACACGCGGGCUACAAUGGCCGAGACAAUGGGACGCAACGCCGAAAGGCGACGCUAAUCUCCGAAACUCGGUCGUAGUUCGGAUCGAGGGCUGAAACCCGCCCUCAUGAAGCUGGAUUCGGUAGUAAUCGCGCCUCAGAAAGGCGCGGUGAAUACGUCCCUGCUCCUUGCACACACCGCCCGUCAAAGCACCCGAGUGAGGUCCGGAUGAGGCCAGGACUCCUGGUCGAAUCUGGGCUUCGCAAGGGGGCUUAAGUCGUAACAAGGUAGCCGUAGGGGAAUCUGCGGCUGGAUCACCUCCA